AAGUCGAGCGAAUGGAUUAAGAGCUUGCUCUUAUGAAGUUAGCGGCGGACGGGUGAGUAACACGUGGGUAACCUGCCCAUAAGACUGGGAUAACUCCGGGAAACCGGGGCUAAUACCGGAUAACAUUUUGAACUGCAUGGUUCGAAAUUGAAAGGCGGCUUCGGCUGUCACUUAUGGAUGGACCCGCGUCGCAUUAGCUAGUUGGUGAGGUAACGGCUCACCAAGGCAACGAUGCGUAGCCGACCUGAGAGGGUGAUCGGCCACACUGGGACUGAGACACGGCCCAGACUCCUACGGGAGGCAGCAGUAGGGAAUCUUCCGCAAUGGACGAAAGUCUGACGGAGCAACGCCGCGUGAGUGAUGAAGGCUUUCGGGUCGUAAAACUCUGUUGUUAGGGAAGAACAAGUGCUAGUUGAAUAAGCUGGCACCUUGACGGUACCUAACCAGAAAGCCACGGCUAACUACGUGCCAGCAGCCGCGGUAAU
rnacentral:rRNA from 1 species